GGGAAGGCCUCGUGUUGCAACCC
rnacentral:rRNA from 5 species